rnacentral:rRNA from 1 species
AGCUCCAAUAGCGUAUAUUAAAGUUGUUGCAGUUAAAAAGCUCGUAGUUGGAUUUCUGUUCUCGAGGAUCGGUCCGCCUCACGGUGAGCACUGGUUUUCUUGGGGACAUCCUCUCGAAGGCGGGUGGUGCACUUAAUUGUGUGCUGCUUGGAUUCGGGACCUUUACUUUGAAAAAAUUAGAGUGUUCAAAGCAGGCGUCGGCUUGAAUACAUUAGCAUGGAAUAAUGGAAUAGGACUUUGGUUCUAUUUUGUUGGUUUCUAGGACCGAAGUAAUGAUUAAUAGGGACAGUUGGGGGCAUUAGUAUUUAAUUGUCAGAGGUGAAAUUCUUGGAUUUAUGAAAGACUAACUACUGCGAAAGCAUUUGCCAAGGAUGUUUUCA